rnacentral:rRNA from 1 species
GCUGAUGCGUUGUUGGGUAGGGGAGCGUUCUGUAAGCCUGCGAAGGUGGCCUGUGAGGGUUGCUGGAGGUAUCAGAAGUGCGAAUGCUGACAUAAGUAACGAUAAAGCGGGUGAAAAGCCCGCUCGCCGGAAGACCAAGGGUUCCUGUCCAACGUUAAUCGGGGCAGGGUGAGUCGACCCCUAAGGCGAGGCCGAAAGGCGUAGUCGAUGGGAAACGGGUUAAUAUUCCCGUACUUGGUGUUACUGCGAAGGGGGGACGGAGAAGGCUAUGUUGGCCGGGCGACGGUUGUCCCGGUUUAAGCGUGUAGGUGUGUGUUCCAGGUAAAUCCGGUUCACUUUAACACUGAGGCGUGACGACGAGGCACUACGGUGCUGAAGCAACAAAUGCCCUGCUUCCAGGAAAAGCCUCUAAGCAUCAGGUAACAUCAAAUCGUACCCCAAACCGACACAGGUGGUCAGGUAGAGAAUACCAAGGCGCUUGAGAGAACUCGGGUGAAGGAACUAGGCAAAAUGGUGCCGUAACUUCGGGAG